rnacentral:rRNA from 1 species
AGUGAACGCUGGCGGCGUGCCUAAUACAUGCAAGUCGCACGAGAAAGUCCUUCGGGAUGAGUAGAGUGGCGCACGGGUGAGUAAUAUGUGGGAACAUACCUUUUGGUGGGGAAUAACCACGGGAAACUGUGGCUAAUACCGCAUGAUAUCGAAAGAUUAAAGCAGGCCUCUAUUUAUAAGCUUGCGCCGAAAGAGUGGCCCACAUCCCAUUAGCUAGUUGGUGUGGUAAUGGCUCACCAAGGCUACGAUGGGUAACUGGUCUAAGAGGAUGAUCAGUCACACUGGGACUGAGACACGGCCCAGACUCCUACGGGAGGCAGCAGUAGGGAAUUUUGCACAAUGGGGGAAACCCUGAUGCAGCAACGCCGCGUGAGUGAAGAAGGCCCUUGGGUUGUAAAGCUCUUUCGACUGGGAAGAAGGGUCUUUAGGCGAAUAGGCUAGAGAUUUGACGGUACCAGACUAAGAAGCCCCGGCUA